AACGAACGCUGGCGGCACGCCUAACACAUGCAAGUCGAACGAAGAUAUGGUGCUUGCACCAUAGACUGAGUGGCAGACGGGUGAGUAACGCGUGGGAAUCUACCUAGCAGCGGGGGAUAACUUUUGGAAACGAAAGCUAAUACCCCAUACGCCCUACGGGGGAAAGAUUUAUCACUGUUAGAGGAGCCCGCGUUAGAUUAGCUAGUUGGUGAGGUAAAGGCUCACCAAGGCAACGAUCUAUAGCUGGUCUGAGAGGAUGAUCAGCCACACUGGGACUGAGACACGGCCCAG
rnacentral:rRNA from 1 species